rnacentral:lncRNA from 1 species
GUUUGGGAAGUAGCAAUCUCAGUGCCUGUGGAGUCAGGGAGAACGGAGGGCGGGUCUGUGAGGAGGCCCUGGUGAGGACGAUGCUCGAGUCAGCCCCCUGGGGCUGCCCUGAAGCAGGAGGCUGUGGAGGGAAUCGAGGCUGAUGAGGAGGGUGCCGCCUGCACGUGGGCCCCGGGUCGAGAGAGGGAGCACAAUCUGGGAUGAAGACGGAUGAGAACAGAGGGUGAUUCUGAGAGUCCGAAUGAGAGGAGGACCCAGUUCUGGAGGCUGGGAAGCCCAAGAUCGAGGUGCUGGCAGAUUCAGUGCCUGGUGAGAGCCUGCUUCCUGGCUCAUUGAUGGCCAUCUUCUCGCUGUGUCAUCACAUGGCAGAAAGGUGCCGCACCCUUGCUAAGCACAGCUGAAAACAGCAAACACCAGGAGGCACUGAAGAAGAACUGGUUGAUCCAAGCUGGUGGCGCUCAACCUUGGCCGAAUGUUGGCAUCAUCUGGGAAACUAAAAAACAUGAGUGCCUGGCUCCCCGCUGCAGACAUUCUCAUU